CAGUAGCGUAUAUAAAAGUUGUUGCAGUUGAAAAGCUCGUAGUUGGAUUUCUGGCUUGGAACGGCUGGUCCGCCGUAUAUGCGGUGCGUACCGGUUCGAUCCAGCCAUCCUUCCAAGGACCUCUCCUGCCCUUCAUUGGGUCGGGUGUAGGCACUUGGAUCGAUUACUUUGAAAAAAUUAGAGUGUUCAAAGCAGGCGUUUGUCUUGAAUACAUUAGCAUGGAAUAAUGACAUAGGACUUUGGUUCUAUUUUGUUGGUUUCUAGGACUGAAGUAAUGAUUGAUAGGGAUAGUUGGGGGUGCUAGUAUUGUGCGGCCAGAGGUGAAAUUCUUGGAUUCGCGAAAGACUAACUAAUGCGAAAGCAUUCACCAAGGAUGUCUUCUUUAA
rnacentral:rRNA from 1 species